AAUAAACCGGCCACAACAUGCAAAGUUUUGAGUUCUGGUUGGCAAGCUUUGUCCCGCCUCUUCUCUCUGUCUCCAUUUUCAGGAAUCUGGAGAAAACAUAUUUUGGUUGGAUAAGGGUUAAUGUCACGCUCCGGAACUUUGGGUUGAAUGUGUCAAUGUGUAGUUCAUACAUGCAUAAUCUAUGAGAAGAAUUACUGUCUUACCUCAAUUAGCCACGACAAAUAAGGUUAUGAAGUCUAGGAGAUCAGGAAAUAUGUUUGUUUUAUUUACACAUAUUUAACCCCUUAAUUUUGUUGGCACAAAACUACCUCUAUACUUCCAUUCGUUUGUAUGGGUUACCUUCAGUCUCACACACACACACAUUUUGGCCAUAGAGCAAACUGUCUCGUAGCCGGUUUACACCAGACACCGUUAUAGCUCAAACGCUUCGGACGAUACAGGCAGAAGGUGGCACAUCAGCAUUGCCGACUUAUUUCAGAUGAGUCCCUUGACACAUAUGGGGUUGGUAGAGCAAAACGGAAACCACCAUCGUGAGAGUCUCUCCAUAGAGUAGUUUAUAGGCCAAACCGUUCGGACGCUAUGAACGGUUUUUGAGAAGACUGAUUUUCGGGAUGUCUCCAUGAUCUGAUAAACACGGCUGUAGCUCGGCCACCUCCCACCACAGAUGCGGAAGGGCGACAUAGCUUAUACUGACAGAUUUUAAUGGGUAUUUUUUUAUUAUGACACUUAGAUUGAUGCACCGGUGCGUCAAUCAACUCUUAAGGAUAGGUUAUCCCUAAAACAACACAAAAGAGAAAGUUACAUUAUUGAGAUACAAUUGUGGUGUCUCAUUUUUUUUCUCCAUCCUAGCUUGUGUCCAUGAGCAUUUGUGUUUGUGCAAGCGAGCGUGCAGAUUCGACUGUCUGUGUCGAGUGAGAACUCGGGACAGGAUUUUGACUAGGUGUGUGAUUGGAGAAACGGUCUCAUAAAAGAGCUGAAGAGAAGACUGUGUAUGAGGGGGAUGAUUGAAUUUUGGUCUCACUCCAAUCCCCAGACAGACAGUACCCACUACCCAGAACACACCUCCACAAAGAGCCCUGACUCACACUGAGAGAGACAUGUAAUUGGAAAGUUUUCACUGAGACAGAGUGGUCUGAACUGGCGUUGGAAGUUCUCUGGGAAUGAUUCAUUUGUGGAAUUGAAGGACCUGAACAUCCGUCCUGUAAUGCUGAGUGUUGAGGAACAGAACUGGACAUUGACUGGGUGCUCUGCUAUCACAAAUGGCUCCGUUCCUCUCCCUGUCUUGCUUUAUUAAUGGCCACCAUUAGUCUGAGGGGGUUGUGUACAAGCCCGUAAAACGCUACAGCCAUAAUGGUCCGCUUUUUAUGGAUUGUCAAUAAAACAAAAUGUUUGUGCGUUUAACAGAGACUCCCUGGACCAGAGAGUGGAGAGAAGGGUGGGCGGGACGGUUAGAGAGGAUCAUUCCUCAAUGUGUCAUGGGUGGAAGACGGAGCUGAUAUGAAACCACUUUUUACUGCUGCUGUCUAUGUCUUUAGAGCAAAGCAGAGACAUACUGUGGCUCUGUACAGAGUGUACCACUACUCUCUGGAAAGCAGAGACAUACUGAGGCUCUGUACAGAGUGUACCACUACUCUCUGGAAAGCAGAGACAUACUGAGGCUCUGUACAGAGUGUACCACUACUCUCUGGAAAGCAGAGACAUACUGAGGCUCUGUACAGAGUGUGCCACUAGUCUCUGGAAAGCAGAGACAUACUGUGGCUCUGUACAGAGAGUGUACCACUACUCUCUGGAAAGGAGAGACAUACUGAGGCUCUGUACAGAGUGUGCCACUACUCUCUGGAAAGCAGAGACAUACUGAGGCUCUGUACAGAGUGUGCCACUACUCUCUGGAAAGCAGAGACAUACUGAGGCUCUGUACAGAGUGUACCACUACUCUCUGGAAAGCAGAGACAUACUGUGGCUCUGUACAGAGUGUACCACUACUCUCUGGAAAGCAGAGACAUACUGAGGCUCUGUACAGAGUGUACCACUACUCUCUGGAAAGCAGAGACAUACUGAGGCUCUGUACAGAGUGUGCCACUACUCUCUGGAAAGCAGAGACAUACUGAGGCUCUGUACAGAGUGUACCACUACUCUCUGGAAAGCAGAGACAUACUGAGGCUCUGUACAGAGUGUGCCACUACUCUCUGGAAAGCAGAGACAUACUGUGGCUCUGUACAGAGUGUACCACUACUCUCUGGAAAGCAGAGACAUACUGUGGCUCUGUACAGAGUGUGCCACUACUCUCUGGAAAGCAGAGGACUACUCAGUAGAGGAAUGCUUCUGCAAGUUACCUUGAAAACAUGGGGUGAACCUAUUGACUCAUGAGUGUCAUGUAUGUAGUACAAAUAUUAACAAUUCUCUUUCUCUAUGGUUCACAUACUUCCAUUCGUCUCAUAUUGAGCUCUGUUCUCUCAGUGGGUGCUACAUGUCAAAAAGCUCUGUUCUCUCAGUGAUCAUUGCUCAGUCUGAGCUCUGCUCUGGGGUUGUGUGUGUGUGGAUCAGACAGCUAAGAUUUUGCCUGCCCCACGCAGACAGCAGGAUUAAUUACUCUCUGCUCUGCACUCCUCAGGCCUGGCUGCUAAUUGGGGGGUCUGAUAUCAGCAUCGCCUCUCUCCCUCUCUUGCCUUCUCGCUUGCUCUAUUUCUCUCUCUCUCUCUCUGGGCAUGAGUGUCACUAGUCAGUCCACACAGCCAAUUACAAGCCUUUGACUGGGAGCCAGAGGAUAACUCUAAUUGGCAGAGAUCUGCCCCCUCACUAUCCGCCUCCUCCUCCUCCUUUCCCAUCCUCCCUUCCAGUGUGUACAGAUUCCCACCCGAGCGUCCGGUCCAAUCCCGCGGGUUCUCGGUGCGUACAGUGUGCUGAGCUCAUUAAGGCCUGUGUGAGCAACAGUGCUCCUCUCCCCUCUCUUGGAGUAAGCUGACUGGCUCCCCAGCACAACACUAGAUUCUCACUGGAUUCUUCUCAUCCUCCUCUUUCUCACUGGUGAUGGUGGACACUGCAUAAGUCUCCAUACUGAACCAUGUGUAUAUGACACAGCAAAGGCCCUGUGUGGGUGUGUCUCCUGUCUUUUGCUGUUCUGCAUCCUGUUGUCUUCUCAAGCCAGGAGGUGUGAUUAAUACCUUCCAUCAAGGAAUCCAUUAUGAUGCCCAUCCCUCCAUUUGUCUCAUUAUGCUGCCUAAUGUGCUACUUUUCUCUCCGCCUUCCUGCUGAAACGUUCUGAUUAUGACACUGACAUAAUUCAUUCUAGCCCCUAAAGACACGCACUUCCCGUGAAUUUGCUUGAAUGGGUGUAGAUGUCCGUGGUCUACGGAGAUGGGAGAGGUGGUGCAGCCAGCAUCGGUUGUGUUCCAUGCAGAGCCAUUGUGUGGAGAACACCUGAGCUCGAGGCUAGCUCUCUGUAGCGCCACAGCCUCCCUCAUUAUCCACCCAGAUAACGCCAAGUGAGUCCCAUUCCUGUGCUUUAAAGGUAUCCAUUCACUUGUUUGUUAGGCUGGGUGGGCAUGGUGGACAAUACAGUAGAUUCAUACAACACAGGCUCGGCCUCUCAACCACCUCCGAGGAGGGGAGGAAGGAGAGAGGAUGUCAGAGGCGGGAGGAGGAUGAUGAAAGAGUGGCACAGCGACACCCCUGUCGAUCUGUUCAUCUUCUGAGACAUCCAUCAGAGGUGACAGGGUUGUUCCCGGCGGGGCUGGGCCCUUGCACUCCUCAUUCCCCCAGAGCGGAGUGAGGGAUGGAGGGAGGAUGAACCGGGUUAGAGACUGACAUGGCGAGUGAGGAUGUGUGCCAGUCUGAUAAUAACCUAUCCAUCCACUACACUGUUGCUUUCUGCCAGUGGGCUGAAGCGAAAUGACCAAUCUACACCUGCAGUGGGUUCGAAGGUCUCUAAGCCAAUGUCCAACAAGUGUAAUAUUCUAGCUAAUAUUUCUCUUUCCUCUGUGUCUUCACAGGGAGCUUUAAGUGCUGUGGAGCGGGAUCGACUUUCCCUCUCAGACAGAGCACAGUGUAAGAUGGUUGUUUCUGCUGUGUUGGGUUGUUGUAGAAGUGAAGCCAGAGUGCUGCUAGGAAGGAGACGUCGCUGAUCUCCACCCUGCUCUAGAUGUUCUGCUGCUAACAGAGACACGAACACACCCACCCAGAGACAAAAGGAAUUGAUUUAAUGUAGAUAGAUACAUUACAUGACCAGAAGUAUGUGGACACCUGCUUGUCGAACGUCUCAUUCCAAAAUCAUUGGCAGUAAUAUGGAGUUGGUCCCCCCUUUGCUGCUACAACAGCAUUCACUCUUCUGGGAAGGCUUUCCACUAGAUGUUGUAAUAUUUCUUUGCGGACUUAUUGAGCAUUAUUGAGGUUGGGCACUGAUGUUGAGUGGUCAGCAUUCCUAUUCAUCCCAAAGAUGUUUGAUGGGGUUGAGGUCAGGGUUUGUGGAGGCCAGUCAAGUUCUUCCACACCGAUCUCGACAAACCAUUUCUUGAUGGACCUCGCUUUGUGCACGGGGGCAUUGUCAUGCUGAAACAGGAAAGGGCCUUCCCCAAGCUGUUGCCACAACGUUGGAAGCACAGAAUCAUCUAGAAUGUCAAUGUAUGAUAUAGCAUUAAGAUUUCCCUUCACUGGACCUAGCCCAACCCAUGAAAAACAGCCCCGGACCAUUAUUAUUCCUCCGCCAAACUUUACAGUUGGCACUAUGCAUUCGUUCUCCUGACAUCCGCCAAACCCAGAUUCGCCUGUUGGACUGCCAGAUGGUGAAACGUAAUUCGGAGCACGUUUCCACUGCUCCAGAGUCCAAUCGCGGCCAGCUUUACACCACUCCAGCUGAAGUUUGGUAUUGCACAUGGUGAUCUUAGGCUUGUGUGCGGCUGCACGGGCAUGUAAACCAAUUUCAUGAAGCUCCCGACAAACAGUUAUUGUGUUGAUUUUGCUUCCAGAGGCAGUUUGGAACUCAAUAGUGAGUGUUGUAACCGAGGAAGGAUGAUUUGUACGUGCUUCAGCACUCGUCGGUCCCAUUCUGUGAGCUUGUGUGGCCUACCACUUUGUGGCUAAGCCGUUGUUUCUCCUAGACGCUUCCACUUCACAAUAACAGCACUUACAGUUGACCGGGGCAGCUCUAGCAGGGCAGACAAACUGACGUUUUGGAAAUGUCCUAUGACGGUGCCACGUUGAAAGUGUCUGAGCUCUUCAGUAAGGCCAUUCUACUGCCGAUGUUUGUCUAUGGAGAUUGCAUGGCUGUCUGCUCAAUUUUAUACACCUGUCAUUAACGGGUGUGGCUGAAAUAGCCAAAUCAAUUCAUUUGAAGGGGUGUCCACAUACAUUUUUAUAUACUGUAUAGUGUAGCUUUAUUUGCCCAUUUAAAACGCAAUGCAACCACGUGAUAACGCAUAUAAAAUCCUAGAGGAUAACACUAAUUUCCAUUGUGGUCCUGUUAAAUAAAUGGUUUAAAAAAAUGUAUGAACAUAAAAUAGUAGGCCUAGCCUACUGGACUUGUGUAGGUUACACACAACAAAGGACAGGAUGACAUUGUUAUAGACAUUGAGCAGGACUCCCUCAUUAGAUCAGCCAUUUCAGACUGUUAAACUGUGUUAGAUGAUGGUUUGAUGAUGGUGAUGCUGAACAUCUACAAAGAUCUUAGGCUGCCUUACGGCGCCAUGUAAGGGCUGAAAGCAUGCGUUGCACAACAUGUUGCUGACUUCACGUUCAACGCUGAUAACGAAUGGCAUUGCAGAGUGAUCCAAUGAUCGAGGAAUAGAGUGCCAGCAGCUUGGCCUCCAGAUUCUGCCGCUGCACUUUUGGGCGACGGGCAUCGUUUGUGUAUGAGCCAGAGUCACAGGCGAAACAAGGACAAGGUGAGUCCACCUCCCCUCCUCCCCCUUCUCUUCACACCACCAUGCCUGGGGGGGGGGGUCAUACAUCUCAGCCAUCUCGGCAUUCCUUUGUUUCCAUGACAAUACUCUGCAGCACUCUGCGGUGGGGCUUUCCUCUAUCAAAUCAAAUUGUAUUGGUCACAUACACAUAUUUAGCAGAUGUUAUUGUGGGUGUAGCGAAAUGCUUGUGUUCCUAGCUCCCAACAGUAGAGUAGUAUCUAACAAUUCACAACAACACACACAUCUAAAAGUAAAAGAUCGAUCAAUGUCGGCGUGGCAUUGACUGAAAUACAGUAGAAUAGAAUACAGUAUAUACAUCUGAGAUUAGAGUGAGGGAGUGGGUCACCCCUCAUCCUGUUCUCUCUGCCCAGAGAGACGGGACAGACAAAAGGGAACUGCUCCCAAUUGUCUUUUCUGCCCAGCAUCGUAAUCCACUGCAUAAGCCUCUCAUAGACAAAACAUGGACAACUUGCAUCGCUCCAGGCCUGGAUGCUUUUCUCUUCACUGCGGGUGUAUGAUUCAAAGGUGAGGUUGCUAACGCCUGCACCUUUUCCUGGUCACCUUUUCCAUGUCACAGGACUGGGGUGCACAUAUGUCACUUUCAAUCCCAUCUUCUAUACAUUCGCUACCCCGGGUAAAUAAACAUCUGCAUUGGUCGUCUCAGUCACGUCCGUGACAGCCUAUUUGUACAUUGAUGACAUGUGGCUCAGUCUGUACUGUGAAAUAUUCUGGACCGGCCUGCCGAGGCAACCGUUGCCAAGAGACCAUCUGUCAGUCCCCUGUGCGCGUGUUGCGGUCGCCGUUGUGACAGAUGGGCUGGGCUGUCGGAAGCCAUCCAUCUGAGGCCAGAUGGAGGAGGGGGGGGCCGAGACGUGGACCCCCUCCCACUCCGCCGGACAUCAUAAUCGCCUCAGUAAUAGCCUCCGUUUAGCAGCCGCUGUGGCCAGCGCCCUCUCAGACUGACCUGCGGCCUCUCUCUGUGGACCGAGCAACCUAGUGACCACUACAGCCUACGUGAGGGCAGUGGCGGAGGAUUUCAACUGAAGUGGCAUGAUGGCAUCACCAAAAAUGGCAAAUGAAUAAAUCACAUAUUGCGGUAGUGUAUAAAUAGAAGGUAUGCUGUUUUCAGAUGAAAACAACCAUUGCUGAUCAGUCACCUAAAUCCAUGUGACAGAUAUGUUCAGUAGUGUGUUUUGAGUUUGAAAAGAAGGCUGGCUCAAGCCUGUGUUUUCUCUCUCCUGCGCAGUCCAUCAGUGUGAGAACCAGCCAUGCUAGUCCCCCUGUGUGUAAUUAAAAGAUGGAGGGUGGAUGAUGCUGUAAGCUGCAUCGAUAAGAACACCGGUGGAUCCAGGGCUCUGCACAUGCCCAGCAGCACCACCCUACCCCUGAAGCAGAGUGAGAAGUGAAGUAGCUACUAGCUAGCACGUUUAGGACACCCCUAACCUGUCUCUGGCACUGUCACGUUGUCUGAAUCCUGGGAGGGGCAGAUGCCUCUACAUUUGAUAAUGAUUCUAAAGGUCUGUUAAAACUCAGUGCUGCUCUCUGAGGAACUGUACAGUUCCCCUUCUCCCAAUCCUCUGGUGUUUUUAGAGAGCUGUGUGGUACCAUAAAUGGUAGUGUGACUCGUUUGAGGAGAAGAGCGAGGAGGGCUGUGGAGGGAAGGUUAGUACAGGAGAGGAGUGAAGAGAAUGGGCUGAGAGAGGAUGAGAAGGAAAGUUUGGGGAGGUGAUGAGAGCUUAGCGUGGGUACAGUGGGGGAAGGUUGAGGGAAGGUGAGAUGGAGAAGCUUGCUCUGCUGCAGAGUACAUGAGGGUUUAAUGGCCACCCAGAGUAGCCAGUGUGGAGUCGUGCGACAUACUGCAGAGGCAGAUUAGACACGUAGUAAACAGGAUAGUCAAGAAGAGACUGACACAAACACACAGAGGCUGGGCUGGUCAAAUGGUGUUCAGGGUGAGUGGAGUAGGGUGUGGCUGUGGUAUGCCAAGAGUGGAAGGGAGCAGGUAGGGGAGAAGAGGAGAGCGCUAUAGUGGAAGGGAGCAGGUAGGGGAGAAGAGGAGAGCGCUAUAGUGGAAGGGAGCAGGUAGGGGAGAAGAGGAGAGCGCUAUAGUGGAAGGGAGCAGGUAGGGGAGAAGAGGAGAGCGCUAUAGUGGAAGGGAGCAGGUAGGGGAGAAGAGGAGAGCGCUAUAGUGGAAGGGAGCAGGUAGGGGAGAAGAGGAGAGCGCUAUAGUGGAAGGGAGCAGGUAGGGGAGAAGAGGAGAGCGCUAUAGUGGAAGGGAGCAGGUAGGGGAGAAGAGGAGAGCGCUAUAGUGGAAGGGAGCAGGUAGGGGAGAAGAGGAGAGCGCUAUAGUGGAUUGAACAGGUAGGGGAGAAGAGGAGAACGCUAUAGUGGAAGGGAGCAGGUAGGGGAGAAGAGGAGAGCACUAAAGUGGAAGGGAGCAGGUAGGGGAGAAGAGGAGAACGCUAUAGUGGAAGGGAGCAGGUAGGGGAGAAGAGGAGAGCACUAUAGUGGAAGGGAGCAGGUAGGGGAGAAGAGGAGAACGCUAUAGUGGAAGGGAGCAGGUAGGGGAGAAGAGGAGAGCGCUAUAGUGGAAGGGAGCAGGUAGGGGAGAAGAGGAGAGCGCUAUAGUGGAAGGGAGCAGGUAGGGGAGAAGAGGAGAGCACUAUAGUGGAAGGGAGCAAGUAGGGGAGAAGAGGAGAACGCUAUAGUGGAAGGGAGCAGGUAGGGGAGAAGAGGAGAGCGCUAUAGUGGAAGGGAGCAGGUAGAGGAGAAGAGGAGAGCGCUAUAGUGGAAGGGAGCAGGUAGGGGAGAAGAGGAGAGCGCUAUAGUGGAAGUGAGCAGGUAGGGGAGAAGAGGAGAGCACUAUAGUGGAAGUGAGCAGGUAGGGGAGAAGAGGAGAGCGAUAUAGUGGAAGGGAGCAGGUAGGGGAGAAGAGGAGAACGCUAUAGUGGAAGGGAGCAGGUAGGGGAGAAGAGGAGAGCGCUAUAGUGGAAGGGAGCAGGUAGGGGAGAAGAGGAGAGCGCUAUAGUGGAAGGAAACAG